GUUUGAUCCUGGCUCAGGACGAACGCUGGCGGCGUGCCUAAUACAUGCAAGUAGAACGCUGAAGAGAGGAGCUUGCUCUUCUUGGAUGAGUUGCGAACGGGUGAGUAACGCGUAGGUAACCUGCCUUGUAGCGGGGGAUAACUAUUGGAAACGAUAGCUAAUACCGCAUAACAAUGGAUGACACAUGUCAUUUAUUUGAAAGGGGCAAUUGCUCCACUACAAGAUGGACCUGCGUUGUAUUAGCUAGUAGGUGAGGUAAUGGCUCACCUAGGCGACGAUACAUAGCCGACCUGAGAGGGUGACCGGCCACACUGGGACUGAGACACGGCCCAGACUCCUACGGGAGGCAGCAGUAGGGAAUCUUCGGCAAUGGGGGCAACCCUGACCGAGCAACGCCGCGUGAGUGAAGAAGGUUUUCGGAUCGUAAAGCUCUGUUGUAAGUCAAGAACGGGUGUGAGAGUGGAAAGUUCACACUGUGACGGUAGCUUACCAGAAAGGGACGGCUAACUACGUGCCAGCAGCCGCGGUAAUACGUAGGUCCCGAGCGUUGUCCGGAUUUAUUGGGCGUAAAGCGAGCGCAGGCGGUUUGAUAAGUCUGAAGUUAAAGGCUGUGGCUCAACCAUAGUUCGCUUUGGAAACUGUCAAACUUGAGUGCAGAAGGGGAGAGUGGAAUUCCAUGUGUAGCGGUGAAAUGCGUAGAUAUAUGGAGGAACACCGGUGGCGAAAGCGGCUCUCUGGUCUGUAACUGACGCUGAGGCUCGAAAGCGUGGGGAGCGAACAGGAUUAGAUACCCUGGUAGUCCACGCCGUAAACGAUGAGUGCUAGGUGUUGGAUCCUUUCCGGGAUUCAGUGCCGAAGCUAACGCAUUAAGCACUCCGCCUGGGGAGUACGACCGCAAGGUUGAAACUCAAAGGA
rnacentral:rRNA from 1 species